AGUGAACGCUGGCGGUAGGCCUAACACAUGCAAGUCGAACGGCAGCACAGUAAGAGCUUGCUCUUACGGGUGGCGAGUGGCGGACGGGUGAGGAAUACAUCGGAAUCUACUUUUUCGUGGGGGAUAACGUAGGGAAACUUACGCUAAUACCGCAUACGACCUACGGGUGAAAGCAGGGGAUCUUCGGACCUUGCGCGAUUGAAUGAGCCGAUGUCGGAUUAGCUAGUUGGCGGGGUAAAGGCCCACCAAGGCGACGAUCCGUAGCUGGUCUGAGAGGAUGAUAACACACACUGGAACUGGGACACGGUCCAGACUCCUACGGGAGGCAGCAGUGGGGAAUAUUGGACAAUGGGGGCAAGCCUGAUCCAGCCAUACCGCGUGGGUGAAGAAGGCCUUCGGGUUGUAAAGCCCUUUUGUUGGGAAAGAAAAGCAGCAGGUUAAUACCCCGCUGUUCUGACGGUACCCAAAGAAUAAGCACCGGCUAACUUCGUG
rnacentral:rRNA from 1 species